UACGUAGGGUGCGAGCGUUGUUCGGAAUUACUGGGCGUAAAGGGCGCGUAGGCGGGUCUGUAAGUCGGGUGUGAAAGCCCCGGGCUCAACCUGGGAAUUGCAUUCGAGACUGCAUUGCUGGAGUACGGAAGAGGAAGGCGGAAUUCCCGGUGUAGCGGUGAAAUGCGUAGAUAUCUGGAGGAACACCGGUGGCGAAGGCGGCAUCCUGGACCGGUAUUGACGCUGAGGCGCGAAAGCCAGGGGAGCAAACGGG
rnacentral:rRNA from 1 species